CAACCAGAGAUAAAACAACCACAAUAUCAAAAUUCAGAUGUUCGUGAGCAGUUGAAUUAUCGUACAACAUGGAUGAAACCUAUCGAUGAUGAAGUUUUGAAAGAUUUAAAAACAUUUGAAGUAAAAAAACAAAGAAAGGACUGUAACAUACCAGUCUUCGUGGGCAAGUUGUUUGCGAUUCAUAACUAACGUUGAUCAUCACUGGCAUGAUAAACCUCGUCCACGUCUAUCGCCAUAUAUCAAAGAAGGCAACUAUAAAGAUUAUUUCAUUCAACGUUUUCCCGAACUUCUUUUUCUAGUGCACAAAAUUAUUAGAACGACUAACUGGAAAACAAGACCUAAAAUGCUAAAACAUUUUAUCUGAAACAUAAAUCCUGUGAAAAUUGAAGGAAGUCAAUGGAAAGAAAAGUGAAGAUAUUAUUGACAGCCGUAAUCUUGAUGGAAAAUGAAGUAUAACAAACUCUUAACUAAUCAUGUGCCACUUUCUAAUUGUUAAUUUGAGCAACGACCAAGAAAUUGGUUCAUAAAGUCAUAUCAAGAAUUACUUGCAUGUAUAGUCACUGAAGUAUGGAUUAUUAAUAAACUUAAAUUCAAUCAUAUAUGUAUGUAAAGGAAGGACGUGAAUGCAUGAAAAGCAAUUAGGGAAAUGUGUGUAUUAAUUAUAGUCGUAGAGCAUCUUGCAAAUAAAUGUAAUGUUUGUCAUAUACUUCGUCAUAAAAGUUGAAUAUGUUAA